rnacentral:rRNA from 1 species
AUGAUCGUCGGAGAAUGCAUUGGUUUGCUUGGUGGAAGAUGUGUAUACCGGAAAAAGAGGGGUGGCCUGGGAUUCCGAGAUGUCCAUUCUUUCAACCUUGCCAUGCUAGCUAAGCAAUGUUGGAGGCUCAUUGAGAACUUUGAUUCCCUUUGUGCAAGAGUACUUCGAGCUAGAUAUUACCCCUCUGGUGACAUAUUAAACUGCACCUUGAAGAAAGGGUCUUCAUUUGUGUGGCAGAGUAUCUUUGCAGGGAUUCAAACUUUCAAGAAGGGAAGCAUUUGGAGAGUGGGAGAUGGUGUAAAGAUAAACAUUUGGGAAGAUUGUUGGAUUCCUAAUAGUCCAUCAAGGAAAGUAAUUACGGUGCGAGGUAACUGGGUUUUGACAUAUGUUAAUGAACUAAUAGAUCCCGCCUCCGGUGAAUGGAAUGAAUUGCUUGUGCGUGAUAAUUUUUGGCAAAUUGAUAUAGAACGAAUUUUAAAAAUCCCACUUGCACACCAUGAAGAGGACAAUAUCGCCUGGCAUUUUACAAAAAGUGUAACAUUUAGUGUACGGUCAUCAUAUCAUGUUGAAUGGGAUGAUCGAUUUGGAAGUAAACUGCAAAGUGAAGAGGGACAAACCUGUUCGCGCAACCAUCCAGAAUGAAAAGUUUGGAAUCUGAAACUACCGGGGAAGAUAAAGAUGCUUGUGUGGAGAUGCUUGCACAAUACGAUUCCUUUCCUUUGUACACUUGCCAACCGCCAUGUAGGUAAUACUGCUCAAUGCCCUUUAUGCAAAAGCAGUGUCGAGGAUAUUAAACAUGCACUUUUCACAUGUGACCAGGAGAAUAAUAUAUGGAGAGAGUUGGGCUUGCAUGAAAUAAUAGAAGAAGCCUUGGUGGUGGACCGAUGA